UGAGCAAUCUGCCCUUCUCAUCGGAAUAAGCGUUGGAAACGACGUCUAAUGCCGAAUACGACCUCCUUUCGCAUGAUCGGAGGUGGAAAGCUCCGGCGGAGAAGGAUGAGCUCGCGGCCUAUCAGCUAGUUGGUGUGGGUAAUGGCCUACCAAGGCGACGACGGGUAGCCGGCCUGAGAGGGCGACCGGCCACACUGGGACUGAGACACGGCCCAGACUCCUACGGGAGCAG
rnacentral:rRNA from 1 species